GUCUCUGUGGCGCAAAUGGAUUAGCGCGCUGGACUUCUAAUCCAGAGGUUCCGGGUUCGAGUCCCGGCAGGGAUG
rfam:Ciona savignyi cont_63101, whole genome shotgun sequence.